rnacentral:rRNA from 1 species
AUUGAACGCUAGCGGGAUGCUUUACACAUGCGAGUCGAACGGCAGCGCAAGGAAGCUUGCUUUCUUGGCGGCGAGUGGCGAACGGGUGAGUAACAUAUCGGAACGUGCCUAGUAGCGGGGGGAUAACUACGCGAAAGCGUGGCUAAUACCGCAUACGCCCUACGGGGGAAAGAGGGGGAGUCUUCGGACCUUUCACUAUUGGAGCGGCCGAUAUCGGAUUAGCUAGUUGGUGGGGUAAAGGCCU